AGAUAGUUGUAGAUGGCGUACCCCCAGCAAUGGAACAGUUUAUCGCUGCUGCCAUUUUGAAAGGCCUUGACUGCUGCCUCCUUCGAAUAAACUAAUACGGAAAUACAUUGUUUGGGUCUCAACUGGAUUCUAAAAUUUCUACUAUUACUGGAGGGGUACUUUUAAAGCUGUCCAUCAUAUUAAAAAUUGACAGGGCAGUGAUCUGUAUAUCUGGAAUCUCUUUGCUUUUGCUACUUGGAGUUGGAGUAUGG